CGGGAUGGCGUUGGGCGGGCUGGGGAGUGAUGGCGGCUUCGCUGCUGUGAGGGGUACCUCAGAAGGUGGCUGGAGAGGUACAGUUAUCAAAAAAACAGACUGAAGAGAGCAAAUGUAUGUGCCAGAAGUCCUCCAAAAAUUAAUAUGUCCUACAGACUAGCAAACGAUCUGAAUCUGCCAGAAAUAAACAGAAAUAAACACCAAGCUUGCUGCAUCUAUUCUGGAGUUGGUCUUCAACUGUUUCUGCUGCUGGAAAACUGAGAGAGCAUGAGUGGACUUUCCUGCCUUAGAAUCAUGGAAUCUUUCAGGUUGGAAAAGACCCUUGGGAUCAUGGAGUCCAACUGUCAUCCCUACCAAAGUUUCCCCUAAACCAUAUCCCCCAAUACCACAUCUAAACAACCCUUGAACACAUCCAGGUAACAACCAUCUCCCUGGGCAGCCUAUCCCAGUGCCUUCCCCACUUCUGGUCCUCCCAACAUCACCUGGGUCACAAAGUGGGGUCAAGAGAAGAAGCUGAGAAGGUAAGAAAGGUCCCCAUGUGGGGAGCAGGAGCAGACUGAAGGAGCUGAGGCAGAGGCGUCAUCCUGGAAGGACUCUGUGUCUCUGGGGGAAAUGCAAGGAAUCCAGGCAGUGCAGAGGAAAUGCAAGAAAGGUCUCAAGAAGGGGAACUCUGCAGUGACAAACUCAGGGGACUCUCCUAGUAAAACCCUUGUGUCCCUCAUAAAGCCCUUGUAUCUCAUAUCUUUAAUUCAAUUAGUGUCCCACAGCUUGGUGUCAGCCCAUGCAGCCUUCAUACAACCCUUCACCAGCUUCCCAUCCUCUCAGCUACCUCUUCUUGGAGAGGAAAACUAAGGAGGAAGAAUAAGGCUGUGAGAGAUGCUGAAACAGUGAUGGGACCAGCACACAUCCAAUGGGUCCUGGAGGAGGAGGAAUCAUUGCCAAGGCAGCAGCAGAGGGUGCCAACACAAGAAGG